rnacentral:lncRNA from 1 species
AGGAAUGAAAGAACAAAUUAGGGUUAGCACUAAAGUUGAGAGAGAUGGAGAGUUGGGAGAAAGGAAGAGUCUGAAAGAGAGUGAAAGAGAGUGAAAGAGAAAUUACCAAUCCCUGAAAUCACUCUCCCUACCCCCAAAUCCCUGAAAUCACUCGUCUGAACGUGCAACAGAGCAUGGUCCCAUCGACCCCAUUCCAGUUCAAAAAUAAAGGAAAUGAAAGUUCUUAUCUAACCAAUGCUCAUUUAAUCACCGACACCAACAAUUGAUUUAAGGAGAAAAAAUCAACCCUAACCCCCUUUUUGGCAGCCUCACUCCUCCAUCUCCCUUCCCUUCCC